rnacentral:tRNA from 1 species
UUGAUUUAGUUUAUUUAUAAAAUGUUGUUUUGUGGAAGCAAAGAAAAUUAAAAUUAGUCAAU